rnacentral:tRNA from 1 species
GCCUGGGUGGCUCAGUCGGUUGAGCAUCUGACUUCGGCUCAGGCCAUGAUCUUACAGUUUGGGGGUUCGAGCCCCGCAUCAGGCU